UCGAUUAGCCUACCCCGCAAGGCCCCUUCCUUCCUUCCUCUCAAUACACCAACCAAACAAUAUAUCUAUAUCUAUAUUUAUAUUUAUAUUUAUAUCAUUACCCAACUUUAGCAGCUGAAUCAACAACACCACCACCAACUGCUUCGUGUCCAUUCCAUGUGUCCGAUGCCGACAUCUCUUUUGUUUCCAAAAUUCCAGAAAACCCCAUCUCCUAUUUUGCCUCCAACAAAACCCCCCCAAAAACAUAAAUCAAAGAAAUGAAUCCUUUUCUUAUGAACUGAAGCUUCAUUAAUGGGUUAUUUCUGAGUUGUUUUUGGCUGUUGGAGCAAUGGGGUUUUGGAUUAUUUUGCUCUUUUUGUCAUUUAUUCCGGCGGCGAUUCCGGCGGAAGAUGCUAGAAUUGUUGUUGACACAAGCUCGGCUGUCGCCGAAACCGACGAUAAUUAUAUUUGUGCCACCAUUGAUUGGUGGCCGCAAGAUAAGUGUAAUUAUGAUCGAUGCCCGUGGGGUUCUUCAUCCGUGUUGAAUCUUGAUUUAUCUCACUCGUUUUUACACAAUGCUAUUCAAGCUUUCGGCGCCUUGAGAAUUAGAGUCAGCGGAUCUUUGCAAGAUCAAGUGAUAUACAAUGUUGGGAACUUGACGUCUACUUGAAAAACGUUUAAAAAGGAGAAUGGCGGAUUGUUUGGAUUUUCUAAGGGAUGCCUACGUAUGGAGCAGUGGGACCAGCUGAAUAAACUUUUCGAGGACACGGGAGUUAUUCCGACUUUUGGCCUCAAUGCUCUAUACGGGAGGCGGCGCUCUCAAAAUAAGGUAUGGGAAGGGGAAUGGGAUCCGAGCAACGCUCGUGAUUUUAUAAAAUACACUAUAUCCAAGGGAUACUGCAUUGAGUCAUGGGAAUUCGGCAACGAGUUAUCCGGGCGGGGGGUGGGUGCCAACACCGAGCAAUACGGAAAAGAUGCAGUCCGUCUCAACAAUAUGAUCAAUGAACUGUAUGCAAGUUUCCCGGCACGCCCCCGGCUCAUAGCCAGGGCUGUUCCUAAUUUUCGAAGGGCCCGGGGCAAAAUAAAAGUCUGAGGCCCUUAAAUAUAUACAUAUAUAAUAUUUUUUUUUACGUAUAAUAAAAUAUAGAUUAAAAAAAAUAAAAAUUUUAGCAUAAAUUUAGUUUCGAAACUUAGCAUAAAUUUUUCAUAUACUUUAAAAAUUGCUUAACGUCCGCUUAUAUUUUAACAAACGCUAUAUGAAACCCCCGUCAUGAAAAAAAAAAAAAAAAAGAUAAAAAACCAUAAUAUAGAUAAAAAUAAAAAAUAAAAAUCAUCUUCUCAUCACCCAAAGAAAAAACAAAAAAAAAGAGUUUCAUGUAAUAUUUUUUAAAGUAUAAAUGACCCAUACAGUAUAUAGAGAAUUUACACUGAAUUUUAAAACAACAAAGAAUUAUUGAUAUUUUGCCUAAUAAUAAUUUUGUCUAAUAUUUAUUUUCUUUUUAGUGCACAAAAAAUUUAUUUAUAAUAAAAAUAAAAGACCCCUAAAUAUAUAUAAAUGGUAUACUCCAAUUUGUUUUUUACCUAUAAUAGAAUAUAAAUUAUUAAAUAAAUAUUUUUUUAGCAUUUUUACAUAAAAUAUCAAUAAUAGUAUUAAUAUUAAUUUUGUCU